AGAUUGAUCUGCCUGUGACAACUGUCACUCUGCUGAUCACCAGUGUUGAUUUGGCAGAUAUGCUUGGCUAGAAAAAUGUACCCCUUCCUCCUUCAUCAUUCAAUGUACCUCCCUCCUGAACUCACUCACUCCACGGAAGAUGAUGACUUUCUCAGACAGAAGAGGAUUGCUCUUUAGCUGUGCUCUUUUGCAGAACCUCCAAACAGUAAAGAUUUUGAAUCAUAUUAGUCGGGUCGACAUUU
rnacentral:sRNA from 1 species